UACGUAGGGGGCAAGCGUUGUCCGGAUUUAUUGGGCGUAAAGAGCGUGUAGGCGGCCACACAGGUCAGCUGUGAAAAACUCGAGGCUCAACCUCGAGACGUCGGUUGAAACCGUAUGGCUAGAGUCCGGAAGAGGAGAGUGGAAUUCCCGGUGUAGCGGUGAAAUGCGCAGAUAUCGGGAAGAACACCCGUGGCGAAGGCGGCCUGCUGGGCAGUAGCUGACGCUGAUGCGCGACAGCGUGGGGAGCAAACAGG
rnacentral:rRNA from 1 species